CUUGACCUGUCAAAGUUACGAGGCCUAUCGUUGCGCCUAUUUCUCUCAUUUGCCCUGGCAUUAUUCCUCAUCCAUUCUUCAUGGUACUUCGGAUCAUAGGGAACAGCUUUGCCAUCAAUAAAUGGUUCCCCCCCAUAAUCUUUGUUCUUAACAUCCAAAUAUGAAUCAGGAAGAACCCAACGAACCCUGGGCAAUUUUUUAAUCUCGUAAGAAAGCUCUUCAGACACGAGAGCUCCA
rnacentral:misc_RNA from 1 species